rnacentral:rRNA from 1 species
AACGAACGCUGGCGGCAUGCCUAACACAUGCAAGUCGAACGGGAUCCUAGCUUGCUAGGUGAGAGUGGCGGACGGGUGAGUAACACGUGGGAAUCUAGCCUUUUGGUUCGGGAUAACCGCGGGAAACUGCGGCUAAUACCCGAAUGCCCUCGAGAGAGGAAAGAUUUAUCGCCAGAAGAGGAGCCCGCGUCCGAUUAGGUAGUUGGUGGGGUAAAGGCCUACCAAGCCGACGAUCGGUAGCUGGUCUGAGAGGAUGAUCAGCCACACUGGGACUGAGAUACGGCCCAGACUCCUACGGGAGGCAGCAGUGGGGAAUAUUGGACAAUGGGGGCAACCCUGAUCCAGCAAUGACCGCGUGAGUGAUGAAGGCCUUAGGGUUGUAAAGCUCUUUUGCCAGGGAAGAGUGAUGACUGUACCUGGAGAA